rnacentral:rRNA from 1 species
GACGAACGCUGGCGGCGUGCCUAAUACAUGCAAGUUGAGCGCUGAAGGUUGGUACUUGUACCCACUGGAUGAGCAGCGAACGGGUGAGUAACGCGUGGGGAAUCUGCCUUUGAGCGGGGGACAACAUUUGGAAACGAAUGCUAAUACCGCAUAAAAACUUUAAACACAAGUUUUAAGUUUGAAAGAUGCAAUUGCAUCACUCAAAGAUGAUCCCGCGUUGUAUUAGCUAGUUGGUGAGGUAAAGGCUCACCAAGGCGAUGAUACAUAGCCGACCUGAGAGGGUAAACGGCCACAUGGGGACUGAGACACGGCCCAAACUCCUACGGGAGGCAGCAGUAGGGAAUCUUCGGCAAUGGACGAAAGUCUGACCGAGCAACGCCGCGUGAGUGAAGAAGGUUUUCCGAUCGUAAAACUCUGUUGGUAGAGAAGAACGGUGGUGAGAGUGGAAAGCUCAUCAAGUGACGGUAACUACCCAGAAAGGGACGGCUAACUACGUG